rfam:Bombyx mori DNA, contig: Bm_scaf25_contig16537, strain: p50T/Dazao, build 2, whole genome shotgun sequence.
UUAACUCAAUUUGUAUGGAGUUGAAACAUCUGCCUACGUUUGCCGCUAGGGGCGCUGUUCCAACUGCAUACAAAAUUGGGCUA